rnacentral:rRNA from 1 species
UACAGAGGUCUCAAGCGUUGUUCGGAUUCAUUGGGCGUAAAGGGUGCGUAGGCGGCGCGGUAAGUCGGGUGUGAAAUCUCGGAGCUUAACUCCGAAACUGCAUUCGAUACUGCCGUGCUUGAGGACUGGAGAGGAGACUGGAAUUUACGGUGUAGCGGUGAAAAUGCGUAGAUAUCGUGAGGAAGACCGGUGGCGAAGGCGGAUCUCUGGACAGUUCCUGACGCUGAGGCGCGAAGGCCAGGGGAGCAAACGGG